rnacentral:snRNA from 1 species
AGCCGAGCUAUGAACACAAAGCGAACUAUUCUUUCGCCUUUUACUAAAGAAUACCGUGUGUUCGUAGCAUAAAUCGGCAUACGCCAAUUUUUUGAAGAGUUUUCUCCACUGGAGAGGAC